CUUCCAUUUCCCUCCCCUCGAAUCCUCGAUUUGCUCCGGAUCUCUUUCGCACCUGAUCUCCUCUACCAUCUCUUUCCCUUCCUCCGUAUUCGGUGCUCGAUUUGGGGUGUUCUGCUGGAUUUUUGUCUGCUGCUCUGAUGCUCUGAUGUUCUGAUCUGGUUUAUGGGAGUAUGGAUUUCAUAAAUGGUGGGGAGGUAAGGGGAAAAGGGCUUCUCGCCACAACGGUGACAACAAGGACGAUAAGAAACUGGUCUCUGGGUCUGUGCGUGCCGAGUUACAGUUUCCUGCGAGUCAUAUCCACCAGCAGCUGAAGUCGAGCAUUCAAGUGAAUGGAGUGCUUUGAAGCAGAAGUGCUGGAGCCCGCAGGGAAUACAAGGACAUCAAGGUGAAGAGGAUCACACUGCACCACCUUCAGCUAGCCAUUCAAAAAGACUAGGAGCUAGACGCCCUCAUUAUGAGCACCAUUGCCGAUGGUGGAGUCACCACCCACAUCUACAGGUUCCUGAUUAACAAACCCUCCAAAGAAUAGGUAGUGAUCAUGUUAUUUAAUUCCAUCUGUAAUGCUUUUUCACAUAUGUUCUACUAAAUCAGUGAAUUUUUUCAGCUAUUAGUUUGAAUUAAACAAAAAUGCGUUGAUGAACAACUUCUAGUUUUGCUCUAUUUAGGAAUAUCAAACCUUGUGUGUAGUUUAUGACAAGGUAGGAUGUAAUCAACCAUGGAUAAUUAACUCUUUAAAUGGCUACAUUCAACUAUUCUGGUUUCCCUGAUGAGAUUUUGCCUCUUUUUCAACACUUACCAUGUCCAUGCAUGGAGAUGGAGUCUUCAUUCAUGUUGUGUAUGGCUUCAAGUCAGGCCGAUAUGCGAUCGAGAUCUGACAGUGAUCCGAUGGCCCCCCGCGUGCAAUUGUUCGUGCCAAAUCAAGACAUGAAUUGGAUGGACGUUAAUUUUGGAUGUGAUAAACAGAUCUCUUUAGAUAAUUAAAGGGUUGGCAGCUCAUAGUAAGAGGUUACUCUCUAUUGUUUACUUGUUUGUUUGUUAGAUUGUGAAUUGGGCAAUCAAGUGCCUUUGAAUUUGAUCAUUUGUAAGCAUUUGUUUUUUACUUUUGUUUUAUAUGUUAUAUUUAUUUAAUGUUUUAAAA